GGCAGUGGUGGCUCAACGGUUAAGGCUCUGGGGUACUGAUCAGGUGGUAGGGGUUCAAGCCCCAGUACUGCCA